GUGCUCACUUCAGCAGCACAUAUACUAAAAAAUUGGAAUGAUAUAAAUUAGCAUGGCCCCUGAGCAAGGAUGACUUGCAAAUUCAUGAAGUAUUCCAUAUUUUU
ensembl:snRNA U6 U6 spliceosomal RNA